AUUGAACGCUGGCGGCAUGCCUUACACAUGCAAGUCGAACGGCAGCACGGGAGCAAUCCUGGUGGCGAGUGGCGAACGGGUGAGUAAAGUAUCGGAACGUGCCCAGUCGUGGGGGAUAACGUAGCGAAAGUUACGCUAAUACCGCAUACGAUCUAUGGAUGAAAGCGGGGGAUCGCAAGACCUCGCGCGAUUGGAGCGGCCGAUAUCAGAUUAGGUAGUUGGUGGGAUAAAAGCUUACCAAGCCGACGAUCUGUAGCUGGUCUGAGAGGACGACCAGCCACACUGGGACUGAGACACGGCCCAGACUCCGACGGGAGGCAGCAGUGGGGAAUUUUGGACAAUGGGAGCUAGCCUGAUCCAGCCAUGCCGCGUGCAGGAUGAAGGCCUUCGGGUUGUAAACUGCUUUUGUACGGAACGAAAAGCCUCUUUCGAAUAAAGAGAGGUCAUGACGGUACCGUAAGAAUAAGCACCGGCUAACUACGUGCCAGCAGCCGCCGUAA
rnacentral:rRNA from 1 species